AAAUUGAAGAGUUUGAUCAUGGCUCAGAUUGAACGCUGGCGGCAGGCCUAACACAUGCAAGUCGAACGGUAACAGGAAGCAGCUUGCUGCUUUGCUGACGAGUGGCGGACGGGUGAGUAAUGUCUGGGAAACUGCCUGAUGGUGGAG
rnacentral:rRNA from 1 species